CUUAACGCUAAUCACUCAAGCAUUAUUUACAACAAUAAAACUUUCACUUAUGUAGCUGAGAGCAAAUAGUAAUAAAUGAGUACUGAAAAGGAAACAAAUAAAUAAAUUGAAACAGCAAUUAAAAAUUUACAGGUUAAUUCUUAUUCCUUUUGCAUAAUGACUUAAUUAGUGCCCUUUUAGUAAGGACCACCUACUAGCUGCCCCGAAAGUAAACGAUCUAUUUUAGGCCAAGUAUUUUGACUCCACUAAUUUAUGUUGCAAUAUAAUUAGGAGAGCUUAGAAUAGAGAUGACAUGUUAACCGCGUUUACUUCUAGCUGGUUGCUUGGGAAAUGAAUAUGAGUUCAGUCGGAACAAACAGUUUCGCUAAGACAAGCCGGAAUGUGCUGGCCUGUUAAAAUAUAAACAAAUAUACCUAAAAUUAAGUUUUAUCUUGCCCACCGUAGGCUUAAAAGCAGCCAUCGGGUAAGAAUAGCGUCAAAGCUUAAAUUUUACUGCUAUUACAAUUUUUAGCUCGGUACCAAGCAAUCUUUAAAUAAGAUAUCUUCUGUUAAGACGCGUAGAACUAUAACACCUAAUACAAGUGUGCUAGAUAUUAUGCUUAAACAAUUACUAUUCAAGUAUAUUACAUAAGUCUGCCUAACAUAAGCGUAUUAUAAAGGUUGUGACAUAAAAGAAAGGAACUCGGCAAAUAUUAAGCUCGCCUGUUUACCAAAAACAUCGCUUUUAGCUAACUAUUAAAAGUCUGAUCUGCCCGGUGUAAAAUCAACGGCCGCGGUAUUUUGACUGUGCAAAGGUAGCAUAAUCACUUGUCCUUUAAAUGGGGGAAUGUAUGAAUGAUUAGACGAGGUUUCAGCUGUCUUUCUCUUAAAAAUCGAGACUCCACUGUACGUGAAAAUGCGAACAAAUAAUUAAAGGACGAGAAGACCCUGUUGAGCUUUCAAGUAUAAUUAAAAGUACAUGUCAAUUUAUAACAAAUAAAACUAAUACUCAUAAUAAACUUUUUGGCUGGGGUGGCAAACAAAGAAAUUAAGCUUUGUAUAUUAUUGACAGCAUAAGACCAUAUAGGUCUACUACUAUUUAUUACAGAUCCGCUAUAAGCGAUUUAAAAACUAAGUUACCACAGGGAUAACAGCGUAAUUCUUUUUAAGAGCCCAAAUUGACAAAAGAGUUUGCGACCUCGAUGUUGGAUCAAGACCCCUGGUGGUGCAGCCGCUACCCCGGGUUUGCCUGUUCGGCGAUUAAAAUCUUACGUGAUCUGAGUUCAGACCGUCGUAAGACAGGUUAGAUUCUAUCCUUAAGUUGAUGUAUUCAGUACGAAAGGACCAACUACAUCUGAUUUUAAGUUUAUGUUAAAUCAUA
rnacentral:rRNA from 1 species